rnacentral:rRNA from 1 species
UACGUAGGGGGCAAGCGUUGUCCGGAAUCACUGGGCGUAAAGCGCGCGCAGGCGGUCAUCUACGUCUGGGGUGAAAGCCCGGAGCUCAACUCCGGGACUGCCUUGGAUACGGGGUGACUUGAGGAUCGGAGAGGCAAGGGGAAUUCCACGUGUAGCGGUGAAAUGCGUAGAGAUGUGGAGGAACACCUGUGGCGAAGGCGCCUUGCUGGCCGAUUUCUGACGCUGAGGCGCGAAAGCGUGGGGAGCAAACAGG